GAUCAAGUUGUCUCAAGCCCUUAAACUAAAGCUUGUCGCUAAGGGGCCUGCAUAAGGCUGUUUAACCAAUGCCUAACUGUGGCAGGCCGCCAACCUUGGAAGGCAUGAGUCCACUGUUCCACAUGCUUGGGCACCACCAGUCCCAUGAGAUGUGCUCCUGUGUCACGCCAGCAGGACAAAAACCAUCCACAGGACCAGUAUCCCUCGGUGCUCGUGGUCGGUGUAGCUUAGUGUGUGUCAUGCCACCGUGCGGCCUGUGGGCCAGGACUCUGCCGCCGCUAGUGUGUCCCACAGAGGAACAACUGCAAGGUAUUGAGGUGGGUUGUUGAAGUCGUUGUUUUGUCGGUGGGCCCCUCACAGGUCUUUCCCUUGCUUGUGCCUUAACAAUACGCUGGGUAGGAGCUCUGUGUGGUUGUGUGCUUGAGGGCCUCUCUUUAUGGGCUGAGGUUUAUGUAGGUUGUGCCGCACGGGAUGACCGGGCUUUUGGCGACUUGGCAGUGUUUG